CGUAACUCCUCCCGCCCUCCGGGGCGGUGGCAGGAUGCAACGAAACCCACUGUUGUCCGACCGCGUUGCCUCGGGGGCGGCUCUCCGGAGCCCCCCCGGUGGACCAAACCAAACUCUUGCGUAACAUUGCAGUCUGAGUGAUUUAUUAAACGAAUCAAAACUUUCAACAACGGAUCUCUUGGUUCU
rnacentral:misc_RNA from 1 species